rnacentral:rRNA from 1 species
AUUGAACGCUGGCGGCAUGCUUUACACAUGCAAGUCGAACGGUAACAGGCCGCAAGGUGCUGACGAGUGGCGAACGGGUGAGUAAUGCAUCGGAACGUGCCCAGUCGUGGGGGAUAACGCAGCGAAAGCUGUGCUAAUACCGCAUACGAUCUAUGGAUGAAAGCGGGGGACCGUAAGGCCUCGCGCGAUUGGAGCGGCCGAUGUCAGAUUAGGUAGUUGGUGGGGUAAAGGCCUACCAAGCCGACGAUCUGUAGCUGGUCUGAGAGGACGACCAGCCACACUGGGACUGAGACACGGCCCAGACUCCUACGGGAGGCAGCAGUGGGGAAUUUUGGACCAUGGGCGCAAGCCUGAUCCAGCAAUGCCGCGUGCAGGAAGAAGGCCUUCGGGUUGUAAACUGCUUUUGUACGGAACGAAACGGCCUGGGUUAAUACCCUGGGCUAAUGACGGUACCGUAAGAAUAAGCACCGGCUAACUACGUGCCAGCAGCCGCAGUAACAC